GCGCGACUCCUCAUGCACUAACGUGCGAAGGGGUUACCUCGAGUGCUACCUGAAGAAGGUGGCUUUUCCUUGGUCUAAAAAGCCUCGGGAAUAAGAGGGGGGCAAGACUGGUGUCAGCCGCCGCGGUAACACCAGCCCCUCGAGUGGUGGGGAUGAUUAUUUGGCCUAAAGCGUCCGUAGCCGGCCGGGUAAGUUUCCCGUUAAAUCCAACGUCUCAAGCGUUGGACUGCGGGAAAUACUGCCUGGCUAGAGAGUGGGAGAGGUCAGCGGUAUUCUGGGGGUAGGGGCGAAAUCCUUUGAUCCCCGGAGGACCACCAGUGGCGAAGGCUGCUGACUAGAACACGUCUGACGGUCAGGGACGAAAGCUGGGGUAGCGAACCGGAUUAGAUACCCGGGUAGUCCCAGCCGUAAACGAUGCAUGCUAGGUGUUGGGUUGGCCACGAGCCACCCCAGUGCCGCAGGGAAGCCGUUAAGCAUGCCGCCUGGGAAGUACGAUCGCAAGAUUGAAACUUAAAGGAAUUGGCGGGGGAGCAC
rnacentral:rRNA from 1 species